GUUAAUAAGAGAUAUGUUAGGCAAACAGUCUACUAGAAUACGCGAACACCAGGUCGGAAAAGCAUGAAAAUAUUCCGCGUGACCUUCUCAUUAUUUGUUCUUUUUGUUUGGACUUUAUGUGAAAUAGUCGUUAUAAAAAAACAAAAAGACAAAAUAUUUAGCGGACAUGUGCUGUUUGAGGUAUCUAUGCCGAUGUGGUCAAUAUGUGCCCAGUUUUGCUCUAGAGUAAAAAUGUGCAAAUCUAUUAACUUUAUUGCAUGGAACAAAACUUGCCAGAUAAACGAUGCUGAACCCGGGGGAUGUUAUGAUGAACUUCUUGAGAGUGUUGGAAAUAGCUUUGCCGCUGCAUCUACUUUUCCAGAGGAACUAGCUGGUCCAUGUAAAGGUCAUGACUGUAAGCUUAAUGAAGUGUGCAUGCAAAAGGGUACGGCUUACAAGUGCUUCCCAUUGUUUGCAGAUAUGCAUUCGCCUGAAAAUAAUUUCCAAAAGAUAUUUGUUGCAUGCUCUGGAAAUCAACAGUCAGUAUUGGACACUUGGAAAGAUCCGUGUUUGGGAUUGGACAUUGGCUUAGGAAACAUUGAAAACUCGUGUACCAAUCGACACCUCAGAAGUACUAUGAUUGACAAAUGGAAUGGAUCAAUU